rnacentral:rRNA from 1 species
UCUCCUGGGAAACGGGUGGUAAUGCCGGAUGCUCCAGUUGAUCGCAUGGUCUUCUGGGAAAGCUUUCGCGGUAUGGGAUGGGGUCGCGUCCUAUCAGCUUGACGGCGGGGUAACGGCCCACCGUGGCUUCGACGGGUAGCCGGCCUGAGAGGGCGACCGGCCACAUUGGGACUGAGAUACGGCCCAGACUCCUACGGGAGGCAGCAGUGGGGAAUAUUGCACAAUGGGCGCAAGCCUGAUGCAGCGACGCCGCGUGAGGGAUGGAGGCCUUCGGGUUGUAAACCUCUUUUAUCGGGGAGCAAGCGAGAGUGAGUUUACCCGUUGAAUAAGCACCGGCUAACUACGUGCCAGCAGCCGCGGUAAUACGUAGGGUGCAAGCGUUAUCCGGAAUUAUUGGGCGUAAAGGGCUCGUAGGCGGUUCGUCGCGUCCGGUGUGAAAGUCCAUCGCUUAACGGUGGAUCCGCGCCGGGUACGGGCGGGCUUGAGUGCGGUAGGGGAGACUGGAAUUCCCGGUGUAACGGUGGAAUGUGUAGAUAUCGGAAA